rnacentral:rRNA from 1 species
GGGGGUCAUCCCGACUUACCAACCCGAUGCAAACUGCGAAUACCGGAGAAUGUUAUCACGGGAGACACACGGCGGGUGCUAACGUCCGUCGUGAAGAGGGAAACAACCCAGACCGCCAGCUAAGGUCCCAAAGUCAUGGUUAAGUGGGAAACGAUGUGGGAAGGCCCAGACAGCCAGGAUGUUGGCUUAGAAGCAGCCAUCAUUUAAAGAAAGCGUAAUAGCUCACUGGUCGAGUCGGCCUGCGCGGAAGAUGUAACGGGGCUAAACCAUGCACCGAAGCUGCGGCAGCGACGCUUAUGCGUUGUUGGGUAGGGGAGCGUUCUGUAAGCCUGCGAAGGUGUGCUGUGAGGCAUGCUGGAGGUAUCAGAAGUGCGAAUGCUGACAUAAGUAACGAUAAAGCGGGUGAAAAGCCCGCUCGCCGGAAGACCAAGGGUUCCUGUCCAACGUUAAUCGGGGCAGGGUGAGUCGACCCCUAAGGCGAGGCCGAAAGGCGUAGUCGAUGGGAAACAGGUUAAUAUUCCUGUACUUGGUGUUACUGCGAAGGGGGGACGGAGAAGGCUAUGUUGGCCGGGCGACGGUUGUCCCGGUUUAAGCGUGUAGGCUGGUUUUCCAGGCAAAUCCGGAAAAUCAAGGCUGAGGCGUGAUGACGAGGCACUACGGUGCUGAAGCAACAAAUGCCCUGCUUCCAGGAAAAGCCUCUAAGCAUCAGGUAACAUCAAAUCGUACCCCAAACCGACACAGGUGGUCAGGUAGAGAAUACCAAGGCGCUUGAGAGAACUCGGGUGAAGGAACUAGGCAAAAUGGUGCCGUAACUUCGGGAGAAGGCACGCUGAUAUGUAGGUGAAGUCCCUCGCGGAUGGAGCUGAAAUCAGUCGAAGAUACCAGCUGGCUGCAACUGUUUAUUAAAAACACAGCACUGUGCAAACACGAAAGUGGACGUAUACGGUGUGACGCCUGCCCGGUGC